GAUGAAGAACGCAGCGAAAUGCGAUACGUAAUGUGAAUUGCAGAAUUCAGUGAAUCAUCGAGUCUUUGAACGCACAUUGCGCCCCCUGGUAUUCCGGGGGGCAUGCCUGUCCGAGCGUCAUUGCUGCCCUCAAGCACGGCUUGUGUGUUAGGCCUCCGUCCUCCUCCCGGGGGACGGGCCCGAAAGGCAGCGGCGGCACCGCGUCCGGUCCUCGAGCGUAUGGGGCUUCGUCACCCGCUCUUGUAGGCCCGGCCGGCGCUUGCCGACACAUCAAUCUUUUUUCCAGGUUGACCUCGGAUCAGGUAGGGAUACCCGCUGAACUUAAGCAUAUCAAUAAGCGGAGGA
rnacentral:misc_RNA from 1 species